UACGUAGGGGGGCAAGCGUUGUCCGGAUUUAUUGGGCGUAAAGAGCGUGUAGGCGGCCAGGUAGGUCAGCUGUGAAAACUCGAGGCUCAACCUCGAGAUGUCGGCUGAAACCAUCUGGCUAGAGUCCGGAAGAGGAGAAUGGAAUUCCCGGUGUAGCGGUGAAAUGCGCAGAUAUCAGGAGGAACACCAAUGGCGAAGGCAGCACUCUGGGACGUGACUGACGCUGAGACGCGAAAGCGUGGGGAGCAAACAGG
rnacentral:rRNA from 1 species